rnacentral:lncRNA from 1 species
GUAGCAAUCAUGCAUGUUCUCUCCUAUGUUUGAUUAGGAUUGAAUAGCACUCUCCAAUGGAACCGGACAUGAUAAUUUUUUAUCAUCCGGCUCGAGCAAGAUUCAAAAGAACCAAAUGAAUCCAUAAAAAAAUCUAUAUGUUGCCUAUAUACACAUAUAUGAUAUACACAUAUGAAUGAUUCAAUGUAAGAAAAAUUUGACUCUUUUUGCAAUUCCGGAUUCACAUCUCUUACAACCAACACAGUACUCGGUCCUUGGGGCAGAAGCAAUUUGUUUAGCUUUACAUCCGUCCCAAGAUAUCAUUUAUAAUACAUCGGUGGGACACGCUCGGACACAUUGAGUACAUCCUAUACAUGUAUCAUAAAUCUUUACUGAAUGUGACAUUGGAUCUAUACAAUCCCUAUUUUUUCCGAUCCAGUUCCUCCACCACCACGAACCCCAGUUAGAUUCAGGCAUGCUACACUUUUUAGUUAUUGGGAGAACCCAAGUACUCUCUUUCGGAUUCAGGAAACAACUCUCAGAGAUCUUUUUUUCCUUUUGGAAGAUACAGGAGCGAAACAAUCAACCUAUUGAUAUUGAAAGACCCAACGGAUUCUUCCAAUGUAUCAUUUCUGGGUCCAAUGGAAUUCAUAGGUAUAAGAAG